rnacentral:misc_RNA from 1 species
CUUGGAUUUAACAGGUAAUAACAUUGAUACUUGCAAAACUGAUUUAGCAAAGUAUUGUAAGUUUUAAGCAUUGGUCAAUUUCACUUUGCUUAAACAUUAUUUUGAUUGCACUUACAGUUUUUGUCUCUCAACUACAGAAAAUCACAAUAUAUGUAAUUUUUUUUGUGGUACCCAUUAUAGAAUCCAGUUAUUCCAUAUCACAUGAAGUAGUAUCUAAUUUAAAAAAUAUUUUAGCAACUCUUUAAAAGAGGUGAAAAAGCAAAGGAAAGAGUGCAAAUAAAUCAAUAGACUAUAUAUAUGUUGCUUUGAUGUGUUAUAUAUUGCACUUCUCUAAAUGUUGUAUGG